GUCUCUCUCUCUCUCUCUCUCUCUCUCUGUGUGUGUGUGUGUGAGAGAGAGAGAGAGAGAGAGAGAGAGAG